CCUACGGGAGGCUGCAGUGGGGAAUAUUGGUCAAUGGGCGCAAGCCUGAACCAGCAACGCCGCGUGAAGGAAGAAGGCUUUCGGGUUGUAAACUUCCUUUCUGAGGGACGAAGAAAGUGACGGUACCUCAGGAAUAAGCCACGGCUAACUACGUGCCAGCAGCCGCGGUAAUACGUAGGUGGCAAGCGUUAUCCGGAUUUAUUGGGUGUAAAGGGCGGGUAGGGGGGAAAGCAAGUCAGAUGUGAAAAGGCAGGGCUCAACCCUGAGCCUGCAUUUGAAACUGUUUGUCUUGAGUGCUGGGGAGGCAGUCGGAAUUCGGGGUGUAGCGGUGAAAUGCGUAGAUAUAAGGAAGAACCCCGGUGGCGAAGGCAGAUUGCUGGACAGUAACUGACGCUGAGGCGCGAAAGCGUGGGGAGCAAACAGGAUUAGAUACCCUUGUAGUC
rnacentral:rRNA from 1 species